rnacentral:SRP_RNA from 1 species
GCCGGGCGCGGUGGUUCAAGCCUGUAAUCCCAGCACUUUGGGAGGCCGAGACGGGUGGAUCACGAGGUCAGGAGAUCGAGACCAUCCUGGCUAACACAGUGAAACCCCGUCUCUACUAAAAAAUACAAAAAAAAAAANNNNNNNNNNUUUUUUUUUUUGUAUUUUUUAGUAGAGACGGGGUUUCACCAUGUUAGCCAGGAUGGUCUCGAUCUCCUGACCUUGUGAUCCGCCCGUCUCGGC